rnacentral:rRNA from 1 species
AAUCAACGCUGGCGGCGUGCCUCAGACAUGCAAGUCGAACGAUUGAGACUCUCUUCGGAGAGUGUAUAAAGUGGCGCACGGGUGAGUAACACGUAGGUAAUGUACCGAAGGGUGGGGAAUAACUUAGGGAAACUUAAGCUAAUACCGCAUAAUGCAGCGGCUCGACAUCGAGACAGUUGUUAAAGGAGCAAUCCGCCUUUUGAGCAGCCUGCGGCAGAUUAGCUAGUUGGUAAGGUAAUGGCUUACCAAGGCUACGAUCUGUAACCGACCUGAGAGGGUGGUCGGUCACACUGACACUGAAUAACGGGUCAGACUCCUACGGGAGGCAGCAGUCGGGAAUUUUGGGGCAAUGGGCGAAAGCCUGACCCAGCAACGCCGCGUGAAGGAUGAAGUAUUUCGGUAUGUAAACUUCGUAAGAAUAGGAAGAAUAAAUGACGGUACUAUUUGUAAGGUCCGGCUAACUACGUGCCAGCAGCCGCGGUAAU